UAUCUUGCUUUCCGUGCUACCCAGGGAGGGCUCCAUACGGCGUUGUUCUCGGCUCCCACGUAACUGAAAGGGAAACUUUUCACAAUGUCCGGUGCCCUUGAUGUCCUGCAAAUGAAGGAGGUGGGUGUCCUCAAAUUCCUUGCAGCAGGAACCCACUUAGGUGGCACCAACCUUGACUUCCAGAUGGAAUAGCGCAUUUACAAGAAGAAAAGCGAUGGCUCCUACAUCAUCAAUCGGAGAGGACCUGGGAGGAGCUUCUGCUGGCAGCCGGGCCAUUGUGCCAUCGAAAACCCAGCUGACAUCAGUGUCCUGUCGUCCAGGAAUCCUGGCCAGCGAGCUGCGCUGAAGCUUGCUGUUGCCACUGGAGCCGCUCCUAUUGCCGCUUCACUCUUGGAACCUUCACCAACCAGACCCAGGCAGCCUUCCGGAGCCAAGGUUCUGGUGGUUACUGACCCCAGGGCUGACCACCGGCCUCUCACAGAGGCGUCUUAUGUUAACCCGCCCACCAUUGCUCUGCGUAACACAGACUCUCCUCUGCACUAUGUGGACAUUGCCAUCCCUUGCAGCAACAAGGGGCCUCACUCAGUGGGUCUGACACAUGCGUGGCACCACCUCCGUGAACACCCGUGGGAGGGCAUGCCUGAUCUUUACUUCUACAGAGAUCCUGAGGAGACUGAAAAGGCAGAGCAGCCAUGGCUGGAAAGGCUGCGACCAAGGAGGAGUUUCAGGGUGAAGGGACUGCUCCCGAGUUCACUGCUGCUCAGCCUGAGGUUGCAGACUGGUCUGAAGGUGUUCAGGGCCCUCUUACCCAUUCAGCAUUUUCCUAAUGAAGACUGGAGUGCUCAGCCUCCCUCUGGAGACUGGUCUGCAGCCCCCAGUGCUCAGGCUACUGAAUGGGUAGGAACAGCCACUGAGUGGUCCUAAGCUGUUCUUCCACAAAUUCUUAACAGAAUGGAAAUAGGUUGAUGGAAAACAAAGUUUCUAAAAGUUG